ensembl:lncRNA
CAUGUACACAAUGUACUACAUUAAAACCGCCUCACGCACAGCGGUGAGUAAACGCCAUGGCAACAGGACGGUGACGUUUCACUGAGGUCACCUGAACGCUGCUGGCCAUUCUGAAUUCACUUCUGCUGUUGAACUUGACGAGUGUAGCUGUGUUACCUAAAAAGUUGAACGGUCUGAGGCCCAAUCCCGUGGAAAAUAACCUGUGGAGAAUAAAUUGUUGGAGAACCGACCAAAAGUACUAACGAGUGUUACGUGGAGGAGACGAUGUCUUCCAGUGGACCCCCUGCGGUGGAGCCCCUGCUGAGCAGAGUCAGACGGUGGAUCCUUGCCUUUGCAAGUAAGACAUAUUUUCAUCCCAAAUGGGAUUAUUUAUGUUCUUAAGAGAUGAGUGGCUCACCUCAGUACAAAAAUUGCACGUAAUAACGUUAAAUGUUGAAUAUUAAGAAAUGGAAUGUUCUGAAUUUAAGCUAGCAAAUUAUGGAGAAACUGAUUUGGGGCACAUCUGGAGUUUCUUCCGUGUAAAAUGGUAAUUAAACGUCAAAAGUGUGUUUUUUAUGGCAGGGACCGUGUGUAAUGUGUCAACACAUGUAUAGGGAUUCAAAUGGUAUUUUUAAUUUUGCUUAAAUGGAUAAUUUCGUCCAAAUUUGUCUCGGAAAUUGGGGAAACAAAAUGGCGCCGACGGCACUUUCACCGAACGUUGGGAGAUAAACAACUUUUUUUGUAUAAUCACAACAACGGAACUUCCAGAAGCGAACUUCAGAGCGUUCAGGUUUAGACGAAAAUCCAUUUAAUACCCGACUCAGGUAUUCAUUCAAGAGGCUAAGAGCCCGAAAUAAAGAUAAAGUAAACGUUAACGUUAGCUCCCUACAGCUAAUGGACCGAACGUUAGCUUAGUUUACAACAUGUUUCCGUGUGGAUAUUUUGGAGACCCGUGUUGUUAAUGGCGCUGAAUUAAAGGCAGUUACAUACGCGGGUCUCUGCACAUAGAACAUUUUAUUUAUUCUAUCAGAAACUAAAGGGAAUAUUGGAGGUAGUGUCACCUCUCACUGAAUCAGUCAAAUCCACCUGUUUCCACUCAGAAUUAUGAUGAACGCAGCUUAUAAACUAUGAAGGAGAAUAGUUUGUGCAGGUGCACACUGACCUUUUCCUUAAUAAGUGCAGACUGUGGUCUCACAUGGAAGUAACAUUUUAAUAUGUGCUUCUGAUUAUUACUGAUGUAACGUUAGUUCCUUUUUAAAACAGACAAACUCUUUUUUUCCUUAAGAGUCGUGCUCCAACACCCCCUCAUUAAUGUUUCAGAAUGGUGCUAACCGUGUUUAACAUUUUUAGCAGUCAAAUAUGCUACAACAACUUGCAAAGCGAAACGUGUCGAUGUGACGUGAUUAUUACACAGAGCACACAUGGAGCUUCUUAAUGUUUAAUAGCCGUAACAGAACUUCACAGUAUUGGGUAUUUAAGACGGUAGCUUUGUGUUGGUUGUGAAUGUAACUUUUUUUAUGAAUUUGUUCUACCCAGGUGAACCCCUCUGGCCCCUGUUCGCUGACCGCCCUGUUGUCCAGAGGGCCCUCGACGACGUGGUUCUUCCGGAUUACGAGGACGAGCUGAAGGAGGCCGAGCCCCCCAGAGGGGACGGUGAGCCACAGGUUCCUCCUCCUCCUCCCUUUGCUGCUCCCUACCCUGCUCCCUACUCUCACCCCUAUGCUGCUGCUUCCUAUGCCGCUGCUCCCUUUCCUCCUCCCUUCCCCCCUCCCUUUGCUGCUCCCUACCCUGCUCACUACCGUGCUCCUUACCCUGCUCCCUACUCUCACCCCUAUGCUGCUGCACCCUAUGCUGCUGCUCCCUACCCUGCUCCCUAUGCUGCUCCCUAUGCUGCUGCUCCCUUUGUUGCUCCCUUUGCUGCUCCCUACCCUGCUCACUACCUUGCUCCUUACCCUGCUCCCUACUCUCACUCCUAUGCUGCUGCUUCCUACUCUGCUCACUACCUUGCUCCUUACCCUGCUCCCUAAUCUCACACCUAUUCUGCUGAACGCUAUUGCUGCUUCCUAUGCUGCCAGUCCCUAUGCUGCUGCUCCCUAUGCUUAUGCUUUUGCUGCCUUUGCUGACCCUUUAACGCUGACCCUCACGCUGACCCUCACGCUGAACUUAACGCUGACCCUCAUGCUGACCUUAACGCUGUCCCUCAUGAUGGUGAUGAUGAUAUGAACGAUGAAAUUAACCGUAUGCUUCAAAGAUACAGGUUAGGGCUCCCCGAUGAGGAGGAGGACUCUGACAUCGAUGUCGUGGGUGAGUUUGCGUUACAGGUCCCUUUACUGGACAUUGAAGACAUCGGGCCAGUGCCCCCAGAAGACUCUUUUGAGGAGCUCCUGGAUGCAGAUGUUCUUGAAUCUCCCUCAACUUCUGGCCUCGACUCCUCGGCAAAACGGCGCAGGGACGAGAGCGACGGGGAGGAGUCUGCUGCGAAGAGGGCGCGGUAGUCUGAAGACAGCGACUCUGAUUGACAAUCCUCCGGGAAGCUUCGGAGCAACCACUGAGUCCACUUGCAGCAGGAACAGUGGUUGCCAUGGUAGCCUUUGCGUCUGGCAGGGCUAGUGUCCCCCAUGUAGCGUCUUGCAUUGGGGCUUUUCUGUAUUAUGUAGUCAUAUUUGCACAAGACAUCGGUCAACCUUUAUUUCAUCCUGAGGCCUUUGCGUCUGGCGGGGCUGUUGACCCCUUCUGCAGGUACUGGUAUCCUUUGCGUCUGGCAGGGCUUGUGUCCCCCAUGUAGCGUCUUGCUCUGGGGCUUUUCUUCUUCUUUGCGCGGUGGAUCGAUCAACUUUUCUUUCAUCCUGACGGCCGGCCUUUGCGACUGGCUUGGCCGGCGCUGCCUCAGGUAGCCUUUGCGUCUGGCAGAGGCGUUGACACCCCGAGCAUGUAGCCUUUGCGUCUGGCAGGGCUGAAGAAGACAAAAAUGCUUUUAUGUCUCGUUUUAUGCCUCCCCCUCCCCCACAGUGUCCACAUUCCUUUACAGGUUAAGAGUGAAGGUAUCAGUGAAAACUGACAAACAACAGAGUAAGUAGAACUCCCAAGGUUAGAAAUGCCUUCAUAUGGCCAAAUAUAGUGUAUGCCGUUAUGGAAAUUCAUAAUAUUCAAAUAUUUACAAUUACUUCCCAUACUAAUUAUGUUUUUAUCCCAUUUGGCCGUGUGAAAAAGUAAGUACCAGCGUCUGUUUUGUUCAGACAGUGACCUAUAACAUGAAUACAAAGUAAUAUUAUUUACUACAAACUGCCUGCUUCAUCUAUUUGUUCAUAGAUCAUUUUUUAUUAUGUCGUGCAAAGAUAAUUUGUUAUAUAACUUACCAUUAUGUGUUGUUACCUCUCUCACUUUGCCACCUGAGAUGCUGCUGUUCAAUGUGGACGAAAAAGGUAAGUAACUUAGAAUAAUCUGUAACCUACAGGCAACGUUAGAAGUAGGUUCUUUUAUUCUAUUGUGAAUCUGUUUAUGCACUUUGUAUGUUGACUCUAUUAUGCAAAUAUUGUUUUUACUAACCAAUACUUUAACCACACUCCAACUGAGCUGCUGCUGUUCACCGAGGACCAAAAGGCCGCUACCUCUCGCUGUGGACUAAAAGAUGAGUAAGAGUAUCUGACUUCUGUAAUAUGUAUAUAAAGUAAUGUGUGUUAUUGUGUAAACCAGCUCUUUGUGCACCUCAGUACCCUUAAACUGUCACUAAUUCAAUAACUCAAAGGUGUUUGUGCCCCAGACAGAAAAGUGUCAAUAGUGAAUGAUAACAUCAAUAUUUAGGUGUAUUUGCUGGCCUUUCUCAGUCUGACGUCCACACAGGGAGCAGCAAAGGAGGAAGAGCCGGACUCCGGGUUCCUGCAGGACAUCCAGGGCUACACGUUGAACACUAAAAAGAAACGCCCACAUUCCACUCCCAGGACAAGAUGGAGAGCAGCUAAGUUGAACUACUUCCUGUUCUUCUGUUUCAGAGACUCAACUUCCUGCACUACAUCCAGGGUGACCAUGACGACAGAAGACAAUCGCUCACUCCCGACCAGGGCAGCACUCCUGUUGUAUCCUUUGGAAAUCCUCGUGGUCCUGAGAGUGGAUGUAAACAGAAGUGUAAGCAGCCGUCCACUCAGAACAUUUCUCCACCUCACUGUUUAGAUGAAGAAUUCAAUAAAACACUUCUCAUAGAACCCUUUUGUUUUGGGAGAUUUCUUUGGUUCAAUCUCAUGUUCAUGUGAACCUUUUGGAGCGUUGAAUCGGUCGCAGGUGUCAUGAAAUGCAUCCUGGUUUAAAUGGCCCUAAACCAGCUUUGGAUCUUUCAACAAGCAGGCACACCGAUUCAUGUGGAUUACUCUGUAGAACAGCGGUUCCCAAACUCAAGAAUGCCGCGGCCCAAUUUGAAAUCUGAAAAUCUUUUGCGGCCCACCCAAACCUUUAAUCACAACUCUGAUCAAAACAUAAACUAGGGAUGAUUAAAUGACCUUAAGAAUUUAACCGAUUAAAAAUGUAUUAACAAUGUUUUGUAUACCAUUUUCUCCGGAGCUCCUAUAUAUUUACUUUAAUACUACAAGAGGGCGCCCCAUUUGACAUUGUUUUGUUUGGCGGCGCCUUUUGUUGAAUAACGACAGUCGGACAAGAGCUGGUCAGAUAAAAUAAUUUAAAUCAUAUUUAUAUUCAUUUAAAACUUUUCAAAAUUGAAAAUUAAAAACAUUUAUUGUAAAUGACCUCUCGCGGCCCACACUUUGGGAAUCGCUGCUGUAGAACAUUUCCACUUCCAUAAUAAUACGUAUUUCAUGAGGUAAUUAAGCUUCAAGUUGGGUCUACUGGAGACGAGUAGACAUUUCCUAAUGCUUCUUCCUCAUCUACUUGAGCUCAUCAGAACACGUAAUCAUUCAGGUCUGGGGAUGUUUCCACAUACAGCAGCAUGAUGUAACAAGUAGGCAUUCAAGUCACUGUACAUGGAGAAUGUAAC